ensembl:lncRNA
UCAAAAUAUAUUUUCUUUCUUUCUUUUUUCCCCCUUGCCACUGUUUCUGCAUUGUUCAGGAAUGUGAAGACCUAAAAAAGGAAAACAAGUAUCUGUCUAACGAAAUGCACAUGGAAAGGAUCAUGAUGAGGACUGAGAGUGAGCAUACCAUGAGAAACCUGCGCAAUCUCAACCAGGAACUCCAGGCCCAAAUUAAAGAGGUGUGUACAUUACACAUCUGACAUCACAGAAGAUACAGAGGAACAAAAAAUAAUGUUUUUGUCCCUUUUUUCUUUAUAAUAAUUAGUUGAAACAGAAGCUUCAUGUCAGCCAGCAGAGGGCGACACUGUGUUCCAGGGCAGCUGAGGAUGCUGAUAGAGGACGAGCAGAGGCGGACAAGAGCAGGGCACUGGCGGAGGCCAGGGCUCUGGACAGCAGGCAAGAAAAAGAUCUCGCAGUAGCUGACAAAACACGACUCAGCGAAGAACUACAUCUGCUGAAAAAAGAGCACAAUGAUGUCCAGCUACUUUUAGCUCAAGCCGAAAAGAAUUACUUUGAGACCAAGCUUAAACUAGACAGGGUGUCAGGAGAAAAGCAGGCUCUCCUGGAGGAGAACAGAAUACUGGAGGAUGAGAGGAACACGUUACGACACAAACUGAAGGAGCUAACUGAGGAGAAUGUGAAGAUAAUGGAAAAGUAAGCACAAAAGCAUUCAGUAAUGCCAUUUAUCUUUGUUAUACAAGCAUUGUGAAUGGAUCCUGGCAUGGCAGUUUUCAGGUUAUUAUAAGGCAAUAAAAACUAAAUGGGAAUAGUCUGGUUCAUGAAGCUGUCUGUCACUGUCAUGCUCUCUCUCUGUAGGGAGGUGAACUCCAGACGCAGAGCUCAGGUUGCUGAAGAGCAGAGAGAAAGGGCCGAUAAAGCCCAGCGGGAAGCUGAGCAGGAAAGGCAUUUAGCUGAGCGGGAGAGGGAAGAUCGCACCAGGGAGUGUCUCAGCUGGAGAGAGAAGCACCAGGCUCUGGCAGAAGUCAUCAGAGCCCAGGAAGAACUUAAGUCUCUCAGGCAGACCAAAGCAUGUCAAGCUAAUAUUAAGAGCUACUUCCUGUGUAUGACUGAAAGCGACCAGAGGGUUAAGAUACUAAAAAAUAGAGAUGGCACACCAAGGAAUUUCACGGUAAAAUUUCUUGCCUGUCAUUCCUACACAUUGACAAGUGUAAACACAUUAGUUUUCUUGCUAGAUAAUAACAUUUAA